CGUCACCGUGGUGAUAGUGCCCACAGCAGCACCCCCGAUCUGCUCCUCCAUGGACCUGGCCAGUGCUGGGAGCCCACCUGUCCCACUGCUCAUGGCGCCCAGCCCGCCCCACCCCUCGGCCUGCCAGGUGGGCCCACCCCAGAGCCACCGGGCCUCCUUUUUCUCCCUGAUGCCUCUGCUGAGGGCAGGCCUGUCCUCCCCAGCCCCUCCUGGCCCCUGCAAGGCAGGCCCCAGGGCAGAGCCGGGGAGGUGACAGCGCUGGGUGGCUGGUCAAGUGCCUGUUGUAAAUCACGCCCUGCCCUGGGUGUGGGCUCCUGGCGGGGCUUGUCCACUGGUGGCUCCAAGCCCACCAGCCCUGCCCCUUGGCCCCUCACAUACCCUGACGGAAGCCCCUUCCGCAGGCACGUGGCUGAGAGGCCCCCAGGAGCGCCCUGGGCCAGCUGUCCCCUGGGGGAAGAGACAGGCUGGGACAAACGGUGCCCCCGCGUCCAGCCCCCGCGUCCAGCCUCCACCUGCCCCUGGUGCCUGCAGGGGUCGGGACAUGCGGCAGGGACAGGAAUCUCCCCAGCCCCUCAGGCCCGUGCAGCUGGCCCGGGGCACAGAGCUGAGAACUGGGAAAAUCGCCGAUUGCCUCGGAGGCUUGGGGCAGGAAUUGCGGACGGAGGCCGUCGCCACCCCGGCCGGCCCCCCUCGGCCCGCGCGGGGCACGGUGGUCGGCUGCUGAGACGCCCAGCGCUGUCCCGGCCUGGGGCGCAGCUGAGGGUGAGUGUUCCAGCUCUGGGGCUGUUCCUGGACCAGGUGCCCAGGAGGAGGCGGCACUCGGGGAGCAGCUCGGGGGCACGAGAGCUUGGGGUUCAGCCUUGGGGGAGCUGGGUCACGCCUUCCAUGGAGAGUGUUGCAGGAUGGGUUGCCCACGGCAGUGGGGUCCUGGGCCCCCCCAGGGUCACCUCUCUCUCAGAGGAGGCUGUCCAGCAGCCCAAGGGACCCACCCAAGGUCACACAGGGGCCCCCUCUGGCAUCUCCCAGCAAGGAGUGCUGCUGACCGGGCCCAGAGCGGGUCGGGGCCUUCGGGAAGGCAGACCCACCAGAGCAGAGGCCUGCGCCCAGCAGGACACCCGCCUCCUGGGUGUACUGCCCAGGGCGUGGGGCCUGCAGGCAGAGGGUCUGGAGCCGGAGCCCUGUCCUCCCAGUGCGGCCACGGGGCAGGGCCUGGGGCUGGCCAGCCUGCUCGAGGCAGCUCUCGGAUCCCCCCUGAGAGGGAUUUUCAUGGGUGGCCUUCAAAGGGACAAAGCACAACAGCUAGAAAAGACAGCGUCUGUUCUGCUCAACAAGCUGGCGGUUACUCUAGGUUUUCUGUAGGAUGCGGAUACCAGAACCGCUUUUCUCUCAUAAAACGAUAGUGUGGGUUAUGUCCCCUAAAUCUUGCUAAAUUAACAAAGUCGGGCUGUGGCUGUGUCACUGGUGCUCAUCUGGGAGAAGUGAAACUAGUCCCUGAGGCCCUGGGACCCCACUUUGCUGGGGAGCCUCGGCCUGAGUGCGGGGUGGCCUCCUCCAUGGGUUGCCUUCCCCGAAUGGCUGGAGAAGGGGUCAUAGGCGGGGCUGGCACUGGGCAGAGGGCAGCGUGCUUUGCUCCUUCUGUGUGGUCUCAAGGCAGGCCGUUCGGGCUGGCUCCCCUGGCAGGCCCAGAUGCUGCCUCCAUAGAGAGGACAGACCCCUGAGUGGGCUGGAGGGCAGGCCAGCUCCCCGCCAGGGAAAGUGAGGGAGCCCGUGAGUGGCCAGGAGGCAAGGAGAUCCUUGUGGGGGGCGGGAGCUCUGCCACGCCCGUGUGGCCUGGCACCCAUGGCCGUCCUCAUGGCCAGAGGGCAAAGGCAGUACUUGGGAUCCGGGCAGCCCGUCUGGGUGGCAGUGUCCACCACGGCCCCAGUGAUGUGCAGAGGCAGCCAGCUGGGGACAGGCUGUCCCGAGCGAGUGCUGCCUGGAGGCACUUCCUCGCCCCAGGAAGCCUCUGAGGCCAGGCCUGCAGAGGGGACAGACAGGCCGGGGCAGAUUGUAAAGCCCCCCACCCCAGCCCAGUACGGGGGGUCUUGGAGCUAGAGACACCUGACCUGACCUGAUCUGGAGCAGGGCAGUCCCUUCCAGAAAGAAGGGGUGCUCAAUGAGGUCCCCGAGUGAGGUCUGGCCCAAGGAAGGCUCAGGAGGAGCACCGAUGGCCCCAAGGUCUGAUGGUGGGAAGGGGGCUCCAGGGACGCAGGCUGGGCUGCAGGUGGGUCUUCUAGGUGGACAGGGCCAUGGCUUCCUGAGGGGGGGCCUGCGGCCGCCUAGUGAUCACACCCGGGGUGCUGGGCAGGACAGGCCACGGGAGGUGGGGGUGGGGGGACUGCGGGGCUGCGCCUCAGCCUAGCUGCCUGUCUGUUCUGACAGAUCCUGAGGCAGGCAGGCACCUGGGCCUGUGCUCACCCAGCCAGGGCCUGGGUUCCAGCCCAAGAUGGCUGAGGCAGCAACCGGCCUGAGCUAGAAAGCCCAGCGCAGACGAGGCCCAGACUCGGGUGGCGAGGCACUGGGUGCAGGUCAGGACAGGCUGCGCCUCCUCCCUCAGCAGCUAAGAUGCCAGGAGGCCCCUCUGGGCAGUGUCAGGAGAGCCCGGGGAGAAGGUGACUGCCAGGUCAGAGGUGCUGUGGGGACAGGGCCAAGCCAGGACCUGAGGGCUGCUGGCAGUGCCCCCCUCUCAGCUGCAGAGCCUGCAGACCCCUUUCUGGGAACACUGACGGCGUGAAGCAGAAUGGCGGCAGAGCAGGAGUUCCCACUGUGGCUCAGCGGGUUAUGAAGCUGACUAGUAUCCAUGAGGAUGAGGGUUUGAUCCCUGGCCUCGCUCAGUGGGUUAAGGAUCCCGAGAUGCUGUGGCUGUGCUGUAGGCCAACAGCCGUGGCUCCAAUUCCACCCCUAGCCUGGGAACCUCCACAUGGCCACGGGUGUGCCCCUAAAAAGAAAAGAAUGGGGGCAGAGCAAGCCCCCUCCCCUCUGCCCGAGCGUCCUGCAGCGGUGCUCUGGCCAGCAGGGCGAGCCUCAUGCAG
ensembl:lncRNA